rnacentral:rRNA from 1 species
AUGAACGCUGGCGGCGUGCCUAAUACAUGCAAGUCGAGCGAACGGACGAGAAGCUUGCUUCUCUGAUGUUAGCGGCGGACGGGUGAAUAACACGUGGAUAACCUACCUAUAAGACUGGGAUAACUUCGGGAAACCGGAGCUAAUACCGGAUAAUAUUUUGAACCGCAUGGUUCAAAAGUGAAAGACGGUCUUGCUGUCACUUAUAGAUGGAUCCGCGCUGCAUUAGCUAGUUGGUAAGGUAACGGCUUACCAAGGCAACGAUGCAUAGCCGACCUGAGAGGGUGAUCGGCCACACUGGAACUGAGACACGGUCCAGACUCCUACGGGAGGCAGCAGUAGGGAAUCUUCCGCAAUGGGCGAAAGCCUGACGGAGCAACGCCGCGUGAGUGAUGAAGGUCUUCGGAUCGUAAAACUCUGUUAUUAGGGAAGAACAUAUGUGUAAGUAACUGUGCACAUCUUGACGGUACCUAAUCAGAAAGCCACGGCUAACUACGUG